CGGGUGCACUGAUCCGGCCGGGCCUUUCCCUCUGUGGAACCCCAUGGCCUUCACUGGCUGUGCGGGGGAAGCAGGACUUUUACUGUGAAAAAAUUAGAGUGCUCCAGGCAGGCCUAUGCUCGAAUACAUUAGCAUGGAAUAAUAGAAUAGGACGCGUGGUUCUAUUUUGUUGGUUUCUAGGACCGCCGUAAUGAUUAAUAGGGACAGUCGGGGGCAUCAGUAUUCAAUUGUCAGAGGUGAAAUUCUUGGAUCUAUUGAAGACUAACUACUGCGAAAGCAUUUGCCAAGGAUGUUUUCAUUGAUAAGGAACGAAAGUUAGGGGAUCGAAGACGAUCAGAUACCGUCGUAGUCUUAACUAUAAACUAUGCCGACUAGGGAUCGGACGAUGUUAUUUCUUGACGCGUUCGGCACCUUUCGAGAAAUCAAAGUGCUUGGGCUCCAGGGGGAGUAUGGUCGCAAGGCUGAAACUUAAAGAAAUUGACGGAAGGGCACCACCAGGGGUGGAACCUGCGGCUUAAUUUGACUCAACACGGGGAAACUCACCAGGUCCAGACACAAUGAGGAUUGACAGAUUGAGAGCUCUUUCUUGAUUUUGUGGGUGGUGGUGCAUGGCCGUUCUUAGUUGGUGGAGUGAUUUGUCUGCUUAAUUGCGAUAACGAACGAGACCUUAACCUGCUAAAUAGCCCGUACUGCUCUGGCAGUUCGCCGGCUUCUUAGAGGGACUAUCGG
rnacentral:rRNA from 1 species